GACGAACGCUGGCGGCGUGCUUAACACAUGCAAGUCGAACGGAAAGGCCCUGCUUGCGGUGUACUCGAGUGGCGAACGGGUGAGUAACACGUGGGUGAUCUGCCCUGCACUUCGGGAUAAGCCUGGGAAACUGGGUCUAAUACCGGAUAGGAGCCAUUUUUAGUGUGAUGGUUGGAAAGUUUUUUCGGUGUAGGAUGAGCUCGCGGCCUAUCAGCUUGUUGGUGGGGUAAUGGCCUACCGAGGCGGCGACGGGUAGCCGGCCUGAGAGGGUGGACGGCCACAUUGGGACUGAGAGACGGCCCAGACUCCUACGGGAGGCAGAAGGGGGGAAUCUUGAACAAGGGGCGCAAGCCUGAUGCAGCGACGCCGCGUGGGGGAUGACGGCCUUAGGGUUGUAAACUCCUUUCGCUAGGGACGAAGCUUUUUGUGACGGUACCUAGAUAAGAAGCACCGGCUAACUACGUG
rnacentral:rRNA from 1 species